rnacentral:rRNA from 1 species
CCUACGGGGGGCAGCAGUGGGGAAUAUUGGACAAUGGGGGAAACCCUGAUCCAGCGACGCCGCGUGAGUGAAGAAGUAUUUCGGUACGUAAAGCUCUAUCAGCAGGAAAGAAAAUGACGGUACCUGACUAAGAAGCCCCGGCUAACUACGUGCCAGCAGCCGCGGUAAUACGUAGGGGGCAAGCGUUAUCCGGAUUUACUGGGUGUAAAGGGUGCGUAGACGGGAAAUUAAGUUAGUUGUGAAAUCCCUUGGCUUAACUGAGGAACUGCAACUAAAACUGAUUUUCUUGAGUACUGGAGAGGAAA